rnacentral:rRNA from 1 species
CCUACGGGAGGCAGCAGUGGGGAAUAUUGGGCCAUGGGCGAAAGCCUGACCCAGCAACGCCGCGUGAAGGAAGAAGGCUUUCGGGGUGGAAACUUCUUUUGACAGUGAAGAGCAGAAGACGGUACCUGUCGAAUAAGCCACGGCUUACUACGUGCCAGCAGCCGCCGUAAUACGUAGGUGGCAAGCGUUGUCCGGAUUUACUGGGUGUAACGGGCGUGUAGCCGGGCUGACAAGUCAUAUGGGAAAUCCGGGGGCUCAACCCCCGAACUGCAUUUGAAACUGUUGGUCUUGAGUUUCGGAGAGGCAGACGGAAUGCCUAGUGGAGCGGUGAAAUGCGUAGAUAUUAGGAGGAACACCAGUGGCGAAGGCGGCCUGCUGGACGACAACUGACGGGGAGGCGCGAAAGCGUGGGGAGCAAACAGGAUUAGAUACCCGAGUAGUC